rnacentral:tRNA from 1 species
ACGCGCCGUAGAACACGGUGAGGCCGGUCGGCUGGUCGCCGACGGCCUGGCCGAGAUAGCAGACCCGGGGCGCGUC